rnacentral:rRNA from 1 species
GACGAACGCUGGCGGCGUGCCUAAUACAUGCAAGUCGAACGCAGUGGGGACGGGUGCGUAACACGUGGGUAACCUCCCAUCAGAGGGGAUAACACUUGGAAACAGGUGCUAAACCGAUACUGAUGGAUGGACCAGCGGUGCAUUAGCUAGUUGGUGGGGGAACGGCCCACCAAGGCCACGAUGCCUAGCUGACCUGAGAGGGUGAUCGGCCACACUGGGACUGAGACACGGCCCAGACUCCUACGGGAGGCAGCAGUGGGGAAUCUUCGGCAAUGGACGAAAGUCUGACCGAGCAACGCCGCGUGAAUGAAGAAGGUUUUCGGGUCGUAAAGCUCUGUUGGUAGAGAAGCGGUAUCUAAACAGAAAGCCACGGCUAACUACGUGCCAGCAGCCGCGGUAAUAC